ensembl:snoRNA small nucleolar RNA SNORD78
GUUCAGUGAUGUCUCUACAAAUGUCUGACCUGAACAUUAAUGUGGACAAAUUUAUUACUGAGCAA